rnacentral:rRNA from 1 species
UACGAAGGGGGCUAGCGUUGCUCGGAAUCACUGGGCGUAAAGCGCACGUAGGCGGAUUGUUAAGUCAGGGGUGAAAUCCUGGAGCUCAACUCCAGAACUGCCUUUGAUACUGGGGAUCUCGAGUCCGGAAGAGGUGAGUGGAACUCCGAGUGUAGAGGUGAAAUUCGUAGAUAUUCGGAAGAACACCAGUGGCGAAGGCGGGUCUCUGGACAGUUCCUGACACUGAGGCACGAAGGCCAGGGGAGCAAACGGG